rnacentral:rRNA from 1 species
AACAGGAUUAGAUACCCUGGUAGUCCACGCCGUAAACGAUGCUAACUCGUUUUUGGGUCUUCGGAUUCAGAGACUAAGCGAAAGUGAUAAGUUAGCCACCUGGGGAGUACGUUCGCAAGAAUGAAACUCAAAGGAAUUGACGGGGGCCCGCACAAGCGGUGGAUUAUGUGGUUUAAUUCGAUGAUACGCGAGGAACCUUACCAAGGCUUAAAUGGGAAUUGACAGGUUUAGAAAUAGACUUUUCUUCGGACAAUUUUCAAGGUGCUGCAUGGUUGUCGUCAGCUCGUGCCGUGAGGUGUUAGGUUAAGUCCUGCAACGAGCGCAACCCCUGUCACUAGUUGCUAGCAUUAAGUUGAGGACUCUAGUGAGACUGCCUACGCAAGUAGAGAGGAAGGUGGGGAUGACGUCAAAUCAUCACGGCCCUUACGCCUUGGGCCACACACGUAAUACAAUGGCCGGUACAGAGGGCAGCUACACAGCGAUGUGAUGCAAAUCUCGAAAGCCGGUCUCAGUUCGGAUUGGAGUCUGCAACUCGACUCUAUGAAGCUGGAAUCGCUAGUAAUCGCGCAUCAGCCAUGGCGCGGUGAAUACGUUCCCGGGCCUUGUACACACCGCCCGUCAAGCCAUGGAAGUCUGGGGUACCUGAAGUCGGUGACCGUAACAGGAGCUGCCUAGGGUAAAACAGGUAACUAGGGCUAAGUCGUAACAAGGUAACC